UCUAUCUAUAUAGAUCUAGAUAUAGAUCUAGAUCCAGAUCUAGAUCUAGAUCUAGAUCUAGAUCUAGAUCUAGAUCUAGAUCUAUAUAGAU